AGAGUUCACUAAAAUUCAUUAAUUUCAAAGUUCAACAUUAAUGGUGGUGGUCCACUGCAGAAGCAAGCAUUUGAAAAAACAUCACUUCUCAGUUAUUAAAGAGCGUGAACAGGUUCUGAAGUGGCAUGCAAAACACGUUCACAGAAGAGGGGCAAAAAUUGUAUGCGUCCAAUUAUGGGCCGGAAUGAGAUUCUGGCAGUAUGAUAACCAUGCUGUGUUGAACAACUUCCCAGCA